rnacentral:rRNA from 1 species
UACGUAGGGGGCAAGCGUUGUCCGGAUUUAUUGGGCGUAAAGAGCGUGUAGGCGGCUUUGCAAGUCGGAUGUGAAAUCCCACGGCUCAACCGUGGAAGUGCAUCCGAAACUGCAUCGCUGGAGUCUCGGAGAGGAAGGUGGAAUGCUUGGUCGUAGAGGUGAAAUCGUAGAUAUCAAGCAGAACACCUGCGGCGAAGGCGGCCUUCUGGACGAUGACUGACGCUGAGGCACGAAGGUCAGGGGAGCAAACGGG